UGAGUGGCCAUUACAGACUGCAGUCUGCCCCAGUGAAUGGGGGCUAGAUGGUGACUGGCAAUAGCUACUGAGGCAAGGUUGUCCAUCACAUGGUAUCUGAGCCCUUUCCAUGAACAGUGACUGCUAUAAGAAUGUUAUGGAACGAGGACACACCAAUUGUCGCCCUCCCUGGUGCAGCACAGACUGUGGGUCUGGGAGCCUGAAGUUGACUGUGGCACGCUCCAGGAUAUAAGAGGCUUGUUUUAAUUCCAUUUACAGUGUUAUUUGUAUUUUAUAAUCAUAUGUGUUUUAAUAAUACAUUGUUGAACGGUUGUCUCUCCCUGGAAAAGUGAGAGAAAAGGCAAGAGUGGUCCAGGCAGCCCCUCCAUGACACACACCAACUCCCCUAAUCUCUCUGUCCUUACCUAAUAUUGUUUAUCCACGUAAGAGAAAAAGGGAGUGACCAACAGUUCUUGAAUAACCAUGAGGAGGUAAAGAAAGCUAAGAUUUGCAUAGGGAGGUGGAGUAGCCUUUUUGUGCAUCUGUGCACAGUUUCAGCUCUCAGGAGUCUGGGAAAUACAGCUGGAGCAGCUGCCUCACUGCCAACCCUGUCUGUACAUUCAACUAUUACUUAAAACAUAACAAUGGAUCUUCACAUGUGCAUAUAACACACAUGCUCAUCUACAUCUCAUUCUCAUGUGUUCUUCCAGAGCUGGGUAUCUGCGGGUCCAGAAUACUUAGGAAUAGUUGUUGUUAAAACAUUUUAUUAGUUUGUUGAAGAUAUACUAAACAUACAAUAGAACGUCAGAGUUACGAACACCUUGUAACUCUGAAAUGUUCAUAACUCUGAACAAAACAUUACAGUCGGUGGUUCUUUCAGAAGCUUACAACUGAACAUUGACUUUGAAACUUUACUAUGAAGAAAAAAAUGCUGCUUUUAACCAUCUUAAUUUAAAUUAAACAAGCACAGAAACAGUUUCCUUAUCUUAUCAAUCUUUUUUUAAACUUUCCAUUUAUUUUUUUUAGUAGUUUACAUUUAACACAUACUGUACUGUAUUUUUGUUUUGUUUUUUUGUCUCUGCUGCUGCCUGAUUGCAUACUUCCAGUUCCAAAUGGGGGGUGUGGUUAACCAGUAAGUUCAUAACUCUGAUGUUUGUAA